UGUUCUAACGUUGACCCGUAAUCCGGGUUGCGGACAGUGUCUGGUGGGUAGUUUGACUGGGGCGGUCUCCUCCUAAAGAGUAACGGAGGAGCACGAAGGUUGGCUAAUCCUGGUCGGACAUCAGGAGGUUAGUGCAAUGGCAUAAGCCAGCUUGACUGCGAGCGUGACGGCGCGAGCAGGUGCGAAAGCAGGUCAUAGUGAUCCGGUGGUUCUGAAUGGAAGGGCCAUCGCUCAACGGAUAAAAGGUACUCCGGGGAUAACAGGCUGAUACCGCCCAAGAGUUCAUAUCGACGGCGGUGUUUGGCACCUCGAUGUCGGCUCAUCACAUCCUGGGGCUGAAGUAGGUCCCAAGGGUAUGGCUGUUCGCCAUUUAAAGUGGUACGCGAGCUGGGUUUAGAACGUCGUGAGACAGUUCGGUCCCUAUCUGCCGUGGGCGCUGGAGAACUGAGGGGGGCUGCUCCUAGUACGAGAGGACCGGAGUGGACGCAUCACUGGUGUUCGGGUUGUCAUGCCAAUGGCACUGCCCGGUAGCUAAAUGCGGAAGAGAUAAGUGCUGAAAGCAUCUAAGCACGAAACUUGCC
rnacentral:rRNA from 1 species